rnacentral:rRNA from 1 species
GAUGAACGCUGGCGGCGUGCCUAAUACAUGCAAGUCGAGCGAACAGACGAGGAGCUUGCUCCUCUGGCGUUAGCGGCGGACGGGUGAGUAACACGUGGAUAACCUACCUAUAAGACUGGGGUAACUUCGGGAAAACGGAGCUAAUACCGGAUAAUAUAUUGAAGCGGAUGGUUCAAUAGUGGAAGACGGUUUUGCUGUCACUUAUAGAUGGAUCCGCGCCGCAUUAGCUAGUUGGUAAGGUAACGGCUUACCAAGGCAACGAUGCGUAGCCGACCUGAGAGGGUGAUCGGCCACACUGGAACUGAGACACGGUCCAGACUCCUACGGGAGGCAGCAGUAGGGAAUCUUCCGCAAUGGGCGAAAGCCUGACGGAGCAACGCCGCGUGAGUGAUGAAGGUCUUCGGAUCGUAAAACUCUGUUAUUAGGGAAGAACAAAUGUGUAAGUAACUAUGCACGUCUUGACGGUACCUAAACAGAAAGCCCCGGCUAACUACGUG